CACAGGUGCUGCAUGGCUGUCGUCAGCUCGUGUCGUGAGAUGUUGGGUUAAGUCCCGCAACGAGCGCAACCCUCGCCCUUAGUUGCCAGCAUUCAGUUGGGCACUCUAAGGGGACUGCCGGUGAUAAGCCGAGAGGAAGGUGGGGAUGACGUCAAGUCCUCAUGGCCCUUACGGGCUGGGCUACACACGUGCUACAAUGGUGGUGACAGUGGGCAGCGAAGGAGCGAUCCCGAGCUAAUCUCCAAAAGCCAUCUCAGUUCGGAUUGCACUCUGCAACUCGAGUGCAUGAAGUUGGAAUCG
rnacentral:rRNA from 1 species